rnacentral:rRNA from 1 species
CCUACGGGUGGCAGCAGUGAGGAAUAUUGGUCAAUGGACGAGAGUCUGAACCAGCCAAUUAGCGUGAAGGAUGACUGCCCUAUGGGUUGUAAACUUCUUUUAUAUGGGAAUAAAAUGUUCCACGUGUGGGAUUUUUUAUGUACCAUAUGAAUAAUGAUCGGCUAACUCCGUGCCAGCAGCCGCGGUAAUCCGGAGAAUCCGAGCGUUAUCCGGAUUUAUUGGAUUUAAAGGGAGCGUAGGUGGAUUGUUAAGUCAGUUGUGAAAGUUUGCGGCUCAACCGUAAAAUUGCAGUUGAAACUGGCAGUCUUGAGUACAGUAGAGGUGGGCGGAAUUCGUGGUGUAGCGGUGAAAUGCUUAGAUAUCACGAAGAACUCCGAUUGCGAAGGCAGCUCACUGGACUGCAACUGACACUGAGGCUCGAAAGUGUGGGUAUCAAACAGGAUUAGAUACCCGGGUAGUC